rnacentral:rRNA from 1 species
UACGGAGGGUGCGAGCGUUAUCCGGAUUUACUGGGGUUAAAGGGUGCGUAGGCGGACUGUUAAGUCAGUGGUGAAAGAUUCGGGCUCAACCCGAAAAUUGCCAUUGAUACUGGCAGUCUUGAGUACAGUUGAGGUAGGCGGAAUGUGUCAUGUAGCGGUGAAAUGCAUAGAUAUGACACAGAACACCGAUUGCGAAGGCAGCUUGCUAAACUGUAACUGACGCUGAGGCACGAAAGUGUGGGGAUCAAACAGG